rnacentral:rRNA from 1 species
GAUGAACGCUGGCGGCGUGCCUAAUACAUGCAAGUCGAGCGAACAGAUAAGGAGCUUGCUCCUUUGACGUUAGCGGCGGACGGGUGAGUAACACGUGGGUAACCUACCUAUAAGACUGGGAUAACUUCGGGAAACCGGAGCUAAUACCGGAUAACAUUUGGAACCGCAUGGUUCUAAAGUGAAAGAUGGUUUUGCUAUCACUUAUAGACGGACCCGCGCCGUAUUAGCUAGUUGGUAAGGUAACGGCUUACCAAGGCGACGAUACGUAGCCGACCUGAGAGGGUGAUCGGCCACACUGGAACUGAGACACGGUCCAGACUCCUACGGGAGGCAGCAGUAGGGAAUCUUCCGCAAUGGGCGAAAGCCUGACGGAGCAACGCCGCGUGAGUGAUGAAGGGUUUCGGCUCGUAAAACUCUGUUAUUAGGGAAGAACAAACGUGUAAGUAACUGUGCACGUCUUGACGGUACCUAAUCAGAAAGCCACGGCUAACUACGUG